AACAAAAUUUUCCCACUCUACUUCACUCACACUCUCUCGCCCUUCCCCGAAACCUAUCCUCCUCCUCCUCACCCUCCUCUCUCUCUCUCUCUCUCUCUCUCUCUCUCUUACUCCCGUCCCAACUGAACCGGAACCACAAAACCCUAGAAAACGAAUUCGAAGAGAUUUCUUUGUGGCUCAUCUCGGAGGUGCAGCCUGGCGUUGACUCGUCGGAGGAUGGCGAAGAAGAUGGUGGCUACGGUGAGCCCACUCCGAUGGUUGGAGAUCGUGACGGAGGAGAGAGUGUCCUCCAGAUCCACUUUGUCUCGUGGAGUUCUUGUUUCCUUUCUGUUCAUCACCCAACCUCCUCCUCCAUCUCCGAACGACACCGAACCGUCCUCUUCUUCCUUCUCCGCCUCCGACCACAACCCGUCUAAGAACGAAGAGGAGAGAGAGGUCGGGUGCGAGGGGUUAGGGCUCAAAGAUGGUGGAUGUUCCAGAGUUCAAGGCCUCUGUUUCAGAGACGAACUGGAGCAACUCCGAAAGAAGUCUGGGUAAUUUGAAUCUUUUUAGUUUAUGGAUUGGGUUUUGUGUCUUUGAAGUAUUUGUGAGUGGGUUUCUUAAGUUUCUUCACUUUUGUGUGAUUCCUUCUUUAAUUUAUUGAAUGGAUUGGAUUAUUGGCAUGAUAGUCAUAUGAAGAUAUAGAUCCUCUAGGUUUUUUUUUGAUUGAGGAUGGAACAGAAAAUUGAACUAUCGCCAAAAAUGGUAUACCCAGAAAAGUACUGCUGUUGAUUUUAUGAAAUUCAUAACUUCAGAGAUAUAUUGACUGCAGAGGAGCUUAAUCCCUUUCUUGAUGGCUCUGCACAAUCAUAGAUGCACUUCCUUUGACAAUUAUUUUACUUUGUUCAUCAGUUACACUACUUUUGUACAUAUGUGAAGGUAUCCAUCUGCCCACGGAGCAGUAUUGCUUUCGCUUGUGAAAAUUGAAAAGUUGAACCCUUGAUGUGCUAUUUUCAAAGAUCUACUUCUGCAAAAGGUGUGUAUCCACCCUAUUUGAAGCUCAUGCUGCUCCUGCAUGUAGCUUUGAUUUGGGUUUUGUGUUUUGAUCUGUUUGGUUACUGGGUUUGCUUUGUUUUUUCAAUUGCUUCACUUUUGUAAAGAGUUUAGUAUAGUAUUACUGUGCAGCUUUAUGUAGAUAAUCAGAUACCCAGUUUUGCUUUCUCUUUAUUGUACUUAAAUUGGUAAUCUUUUCUGUAAAUUGUUCUAAAUUGGGUCGUACUGAUCUGUUUUUACAUAUUGGUGUUUUUGUUUCUUAUUAUUGGCUGGCUUAUAGUGUUAUUUGGAUUGGAUUGUGUUUGCUCAGGGCCAUUGAUCAAGCACUUCUCUUCCCUUGUCAAGUGGACGAGGGCGGCAUCUGCCAAAACACCCCAAUCAGGGGAAGCCUCCUGACUGGCAAGAUUUUGCGGUUAUUAUUACUCUGCUGGUCAUCAACUCCACCAUUAGUUUCAUCAAGGAAAAUAAUGCGGGUAAUGCUGCAGCAGCUCUCAUGGCUCGUCUUGCUCCUAAAGCCAAGACAAACACAAGGGUUGCCAGCUCUCUUGGAACAUUUCUCUUAACCCAGAUUUCAUUGAUCUUUUUCGACAUGCUUAAUGUCUACAGUCAAUUGGUGUGAGUGUCCAUGUAACCAGUGAUGAGAAGAAAGUAGUGCAAAGAUGGCCUUGCUUAUGGAAUGGUACACAAUGACUGUUUUACUUCUUUGCAAGCCCUUUGUUUUGUAUAUGGAGAAGUUUAGGCCAUUGUCCCCUUCUCCCUACUCUUUGUACACUUUUUAUCAAAAAUAGUAUUAAUGAGAAUUUUCUUUUGGUUACCACUUG